rnacentral:lncRNA from 1 species
CGCGAAAGUCGGCGCUCCCGAACAGAACGGCGGCGGCUGUCGGCGACAGAGCCGAACACGUGUUCCUUUCUCUCCACAUCAGCGCAAACACCAAGUUAUUAAAUGGUGGAGGAAGCUAAUAAACUGCAAUCCAGUGUUGAACUUCUCACGUUACAGCCACUGUCCUCUGGCAGAGACACGGAGAGAAUGGAGCGCAGACAGAGUGAGAGUUGUGUGUCGGGGGCUCAUAGAACCGGCAGCGCGCUGCUAAGUCAGCCCUCAGAAUGUGUCGGAAUCGACUACAACAGCAAACCAUACCCGUGCGGGGACAGGUGUCAAUGCAACGACAGUCCCGACCAACACUUACAGUGGCGGCGGGGCCAACCAAACCACACCCAGCGGUGGGGGCAAUGCCCUGCGCUCCUUCAACCCCACCUGCCUGCUCCCCGUUGUCGUGGCAGCCUCCUUCCUGCGCUGUUGAAGCACCCCUUCCCCCAAGCCGACACUGAACAGAGGCAAGACUGCAACAUCCCACGGCCUAGAAAGGAAAGGUCUCACCCCAAGGAUGUACAUUUUCCUUUUUUAACAGAGCGGAAGGGGUGCUACAGCAAUGGAGAGUGUCAUCCAACCAGAGAAGACAAGAGUGUAGCGUAGAUUUGCAUUGUUACAUUGCAGCGUCAGCUGCUGUCCAGCUUGUCUUGCAGUCCACAGUUUGGACAGUAUGAGGUUGUACAAAUGCUUGUUUAAUGUCCCAAGCAAGUCCACUAAUGUUCCUUUUUGGUCUGAUAUGAUUUCUAAAUACUGGGUAAAUUAGUUGGAAGGGCCACACUGUUAACAUUGAACAUGUUUAAUGGAUUAGACCUGAACCAGACUUGAGUAAGUGGGGCAUGACUGUCUUCAUUGACAUGACUUUGACUUUUGUCAAGAAUUUUUAGCGUAGUAUAAAUGAUGUUGUAAGCAGUGAGUGUUGCACUUUUGUUUGGCCACUUGUGGCCUUUUAAAAGAACUUUGUAAUUUUCUUUCUGCACUAGAAAUAAUCCCACAGGUCAGGCAGUAUACUCAAAGUAAAUGUUAUCUUGCCCAUGGCUAUGUUCUGUAAUAACAGUGUUUUAAUGUUAGUUAACAGAAGUGCAGGAAGAAACUUCAUUAAAAUUUAAAUUAUGACCUUCAGUGCUGGCUCUGAUUUAUGGACAACA